UUAAUCGAAACCAAAAAGAGGUAUAUCACUGUUAAUGAUAUCAUUGAAUCACUAUUCCGAUUAAA
rnacentral:tRNA from 1 species